rnacentral:sRNA from 1 species
GACACCAGUAGCUCUGAUUAUUUUAAUAUAAAGUAUUUUGGUUUCAAUCGUGCUUUAAUGUCAACAUUUCGAAAUUGAGUAAAAACUUCUUAGGGUUAGAAUAAAAUUUAUAGUGGUAGUUAAUGAGUUCUGAGGGAUUAAGUUUUGCUCAUUUCCUAACCAUGCACCCUCACACAUGCUUCUUAUAAGGUGUAUGAAAUUUUAAGAAUAGUAACUCCAUAUAAUGUUCUUUUCUAGUAAAUUUGGUUUAAAAUAUAGCAUUUAAACAGUCCCCAGUAUUUUGCAUGUUACAUCUCAUCUUUACUCUUUGUCAUGUGGUUAUUCUUUCUUGAUGAAGUCAUUAGAGGACAACAGUGAAACCAUCAAAAAUUCUAUGAUGGAGGAGCCAAACAUCAAUAAGAUAGAAGCAGAUUUGGGAUAUCCUGGAGGUAAAGCAAGAAUUAUUCAUAAGGAAUCUGAUAUCAUUACUGCGUUUGCUGUUAAUAAGGCAAAUAGAAACUGUAUAGCAAUCGCUUCCAGUCAUGAUGUUCAAGAACUGGAUGUUUCUGGAAUUCUGGCCACACAGGUCUACACUUGGGUAGAUGAUGAUAUAGAAGUGGAAACCAAAGGAUCAGAAGAUUUCUUGGUUAUACAUGCUCGUGAUGAUUUAACAGCUGUUCAAGGUACAACUCCAUAUACACAUAGCAAUCCUGGCACUCCAAUCAACAUGCCAUGGCUUGGUAGUACACAGACUGGCAGAGGAGCAUCUGUGAUGAUUAAGAAAGCCAUUAAUAAUGUUAGAAGAAUGACUUCUCAUCCAACUCUUCCUUACUAUCUGACAGGAGCUCAAGAUGGAAGUGUCAGAAUGUUUGAAUGGGGCCAUUCUCAACAAAUAACCUGUUUUCGAUCUGGUGGCAAUUCAAGAGUUACAAGAAUGAGAUUUAACUAUCAGGGAAAUAAGUUUGGAAUAGUUGAUGCUGAUGGAUAUUUAAGUUUGUAUCAAACAAACUGGAAAUGUUGUCCAGUUACUGGAAGCAUGCCUAAGCCAUACCUGAAACGUAUGUUUGUGGGAUACUCUUGUAGCACCUGCCAAUAGUUUAGUCCAUGCAUUUACCUGCCAUGACAGUGGAGCCACAGUUUUAGCAUAUGCUCCAAAACAUCAGCUACUAAUAUCAGGUGGCAGAAAAGGUUUUACAUAUGUAUUUGACCUUUGUCAACGACAACAGAGGCAGCUUUUCCAGAGCCAUGAUUCUCCUGUUAAAGCCGUUGCUGUUGAUCCAACUGAAGAGUACUUUGUUACAGGAUCUGCCGAAGGCAAUAUAAAGAUUUGGAGUCUCUCUACCUUUGGUCUUCUCCAUACUUUUGUCAGUGAACAUGCUCGGCAGUCCAUUUUUAGAAAUAUUGGAACUGGAGUGAUGCAAAUUGAGACAGGGCCCGCAAAUCACAUUUUCUCCUGUGGAGCUGAUGGAACAAUGAAAAUGAGAAUACUGCCAGAUCAGUUUAGCCCUUUAAAUGAAGUGUUGAAAAAUGAUGUGAAAUUUAUGCUAUAACAUUUUUACAAUAAGAUGUACAAUUUAUUACCUAUAUGGAAGUGGCCAACAGAUGUAAUAUACAGUGAUCAUUCUCUAUGCCACAAAUUAGCUAAUGCUUUCUUGUUUUUAUAUUUAUUUUAUGGAGCUUUGCCCUUGAUGCACUGAUGCCUUAAAAAUUAACAAGGUCAUUCAGAAGUAGAUUACAUUCCCUAAAGUAGAAUGUGUAAGUAAUGCUGUAAUAAUACAUAUCAUAGUAUAUUAUAAUCAGUAUGUCAUAGUGUUAAAGGUGUUUUGUUUUCUUAUUGAUACUUUUCCACAGGCAUCUCUGCAUGAAUUUCUUCCACAGUAAAAAUACGUUUUUUGUAAAGGCAAUUGUACAUAAUACUCAUCACUUAAUUCACCACACUCUCACUUCCUUUAUUAGCCUUAUACGUCUCAAACUCUUCUCUUAAUUAAUGAUAGGUAUUUGAGUAAGAAUGAAAAAAAUAAUGAACAUCUUCAUUAAAAUUGUCAUUGAGACGUCAGUGAUAAAUGAGCUAGAUGGCUCAGUAUGUAAGGUUUUCAGUAGUUUACCCUCCGGAACCCAAGUUAUAUGUAUGUAUACGUGUGUGUGUGUGUGUGUGUGUAUCUUACACAUCUUAUUUGAACUUAGUUGUAUAUAUUAGUGAAAACUGGUUUUUCAUGUGUUUUUGUGCCAUAACAACUAUUGCCACCAGAAUAACUUUUUUUUGCAACUGUGCUUUUCAUUUUUAAAAAAUUUUUGAAUUCCCAUCCUAAUUUUCAAAUAAGUUUCAAGGAGACUAUCAGGAUUAUUAUUUUAAAGAUUAGAUUUAGUCAAAUAAGUCUUAGCAGGCAAUAAAGUUUCUGUGGUGGCAUAUAUCAUGUAAGACAAAGUAAGUUUGUGAAUUUGUCAACUUUCGAGCAUCAAACAAAUAUUUUACUUAAAUUUUAUUUUAUCUUAUUUUUAGGUGCUUUUAAUCUCAAAAUUCUGAAAAGCGAAUAGCAGUGUUUUCAGAAACAAAUGUGAAAGCAGUCAAAUUAAGUAGAUACUAUUUAGAAAUGUAAAAUACUCUCCAGAUCUACCAUUAAUAGAAAAUAAACUAAACCUUAUAUUUUAUUUUUGCCAAAAUAUUUUAUUAUAAAAUAUGACCAAAAUAUGUAAAAUGCACAAUGCUUUUAACUUAAAUGUGCUAACCCUGUUUCUGUCUGUUUUGUGCUGUACCUUUUCUGAUUCAGAAUUAUAGAAAACUUGAUAAAUACUUGAUUUUAACCAAUGAGACUACAGGCAGAUGGGACUAAGUGUUUAUGGGACAAUUAUGUACUAUUUAACUUAAAUAUAUUUUGUUUAAUAGGAAAUAUAUAAUAAUAGCAUUUUAUGUAAUAAAAUAUGGGCAACGAUUAUCUUGGAAAUUAAAGAGUCAAAGCAAAGAAAUGAAGGGCUGGUAAAAUGAAUUUUGUAAUAUCCUCAGGAUACUUUUAUCUUAAAAGUAUGUUGUUAAAGAUUUUGUAAAUUGUAUUUCAACAAUUUUAAAUGUGUUGAGCAAGUUGCAGUGCAAACACUGUCAUUAUAUAGAGAGUUUAUAUGCACACAAUAACCUGUACCUAUAAAUUGUGCAAUAACCAUAUGCGACUAUUUUGCCAUGGAGAAAUCUGACAGCAUUGCAAACAAUAGUAUUGUUUGAUGUAGUUAACCUUAAGUUAUUUUUCAGUAAUUUCUUCACAAAUCAAGAUUCAAACAGCUUUAAACACUUCCAAUGAGAUAAAAUAUUUACUAUUAUGCUUAUUAGAACAAAAGGUGUUUAAGGAUGAACUAAAUAUUUUAAUUGAGCAUUUAUAUGGAUAAUCAUACAUUAUGUAAGCCCAUAUGUAUUUACAUCCAGAGUCAUAAUAUUUUAAAUAAACAAUCAUGCAGAAACUUUUUUAGGGGGUA